GGCCCUGAGUCCAAGCCCAGGACUGGCAAAAAAAAAAAAAAAAAAGAAAUAGUAUAAGAAAAGUGAGGCAUCUACUCAGCUACCAACCGCAGCAUGGCUCUCCAAGAGGAUAAAGAAAAUGAGCAAGUUUAGACAAAGCAGUAAGGAGCUGAAGGAUGCAGAGAUGGGGCAGGGAGCUAUACCUGUUCCUAUCACCAGCCUCCAUGGAGUGACCACCUACUAAGAGCAGGACCUUCCUUGAGGAAAGGGAAGCUGGCAACUGCUGCAGCUCAGGUGGCUUUGUGCACAACCCAGGGCCUGCUCUUGGCCAUGACCACAGAGCAGGGGAACCUGAGUGGACACAAAACCA